rnacentral:rRNA from 1 species
AUUGAACGCUGGUGGCAGGCCUAACACAUGCAAGUCGAGCGGAGCGGCGGACGGGAGAGUAAGGACUAGGAAUCUGCCUGGUAGUGGUGGAUCAGGUCCGGAAACGGGCGAUAAUACCGCAUACUAUCAGAUGAGCCUAGGUCGGAUUGGCUAGGUGGUGGGGUAAAGGCCUACAAAGGGGACGAUCAGUAACUGGUCUGAGAGGAUGAUCAGUCACACUGGAACGGAGACACGGUCCAGACUCCUACGGGAGGCAGCAGUGGGGAAUAUUGGACAAUGGGCGAAAGCCUGAUCCAGCCAUGCCGCGUGUGUGAAGAAGGUCUUCGGAUUGUAAAGCACUUUAAGUUGGGAGGCGUUACCAACAGAAUAAGCACCGGCUAACUUCGUGCCAGCCGCCGCGGUAAUUC